rnacentral:lncRNA from 1 species
AAAUGCCCUUUAAUAAUAUGAUCGUUGGGUGGAUAAGAUCUGGGACAGGUGGCGCGUGGCGCAGCAACGGUCGGAACUUUCAACUGUGAAAGUCCUCAUGUCUCUCAUGUUCCUCACUUUGACGAUUUGGUAGAUGUAGGUUUGGAUUGAGCAUCAUGAGGAAAUUACUUCCAUAGUUUUACCUCGACCCCCUUCAACAGUACGAUGU